CGCAGAUGUGGAUUGAUUUAACUAUAUACUACAGACUAUAGAAUACCAGAGCGCAAAUGCUGUAAUGUCUCGUCUGCUUUACUUAUGAUAGUUAAUUUUUGGAACGUCUAUAAUAUCAAGGGUUUUACUAGAAUUGUCAAAUGCGAUUAAUGCACUUAAUGUAUUUUUGUCCAUCUGAUGAGUUACGCCUUUUCAAUUGAUUUUUAUUGUUCGUUCUUAUGUUGUACUGUUAUACCACUGUCUCAGGUUAGGGGAGGGUUGGGAUCCCGCUAACAUGUCUAACCCCGCCACAUUAUUUAUUAAUGUGUCUGUCCAAAGUCAGGAGCCUGUAAUUCAGUGGUUGUCGUUUGUUUAUGUGUUACAUAUUUGUUUUUCGUUUAUUUUUUUUUAUACAAAUAAGGCCGUUAGUUUUCUCGUUUGAAUUGUUUUACAUUGUCAUAUCGUGGCCUUUUAUAGCUGACUAUGCGGCAUGGGCUUUGCUAAUUGUUGAAGGCUAUACGGUGACCUAUAAUUGUUAAUGUCUGUGUCAUUUUGUUUUUUUUUGUGGAGAGUUGUCUCUUUGGC
rnacentral:lncRNA from 1 species